AAUUUUGCAUUGAUGAGGAAGAGUAGCUGGAGGGAAGUUUGCAGCGAGCUGCCGAUGGUGAAAGGGCGGCAAUGGAGCUUCAGUGAAAAUCACCUCGGAGCUUCCGGGUUGAGAGGAAUAUCUGCGUAGGUCCGGACGGUUAAUAGCCGUUAUCCUGUUUCUCAUUGUCAGAUGAGAGUAGAGAGGCCAUUUGUAUAUGGCAAUUAGAGUGGUACCGCAGAGGUUCAGCCUUUGUCUCUUAU
rnacentral:ncRNA from 1 species